AUGAUGUAAGCAUGCCACGUGAGACAUCGUCCUACAUGUAUAAAGCACGCGUACAUAUACGAUAUGUGUAUUUUUCUUUUUCGAUCUUCUGUGUAUGUAUUUUUCAAGUAUAUAUUUUUAGUUUUUUAGUGUAUAGUAUUUAUUAAAUACGAUACCAAUUAUUCCGCAUGCAUUUCCACCAAUUUCACUUCAACUAUUAAGAACCCGCGAUUAAUGUCUCUUUCCUGGUCACAGUAGAAUUAUACAAAGAGCCUUCCGCCAAAACGUUGGACUCGUUCCACCGUAACGAUAUUGAAACCGUAAAGUCAUUGCUCGUGUUCUUUUUUCUGGACAUAAAUCAUAUUUAUUCACCAAGUUUUUGAAAUAUGUUAGAGAAGAUAAAUAGAUCAUCUUUUUACAAGAUACAGAAUAUUAUCGGAAUGACAUGUCGAGGAAUGAGAUAAGUGAACUAUUAUCGGUGAUCUUUGCUUAAACAAUUGAUGAUGAUCGGUCUCUUCGAUAUAUGAACAAUAGAACUACAGAAUAUUAUUGGAAUAAAUAAAAUAUCGAAAAUAUUGAAACUGCAUUUCGUGAUAACAAAAUACUAUACUAAAGAUCUCGGUUAUUAUCAUUUUUCAC